GACGAACGCUGGCGGCGUGCUUAACACAUGCAAGUCGAACGGAAAGGCCCUGCUUUUGUGGGGUGCUCGAGUGGCGAACGGGUGAGUAACACGUGAGUAACCUGCCCUUGACUUUGGGAUAACUUCAGGAAACUGGGGCUAAUACCGGAUAGGAGCUCCUGCUGCAUGGUGGGGGUUGGAAAGUUUCGGCGGUUGGGGAUGGACUCGCGGCUUAUCAGCUUGUUGGUGGGGUAGUGGCUUACCAAGGCUUUGACGGGUAGCCGGCCUGAGAGGGUGACCGGCCUCAUGGGGACUGAGAUACGGCCCAGACUCCUACGGGAGGCAGCAGUGGGGAAUAUUGCACAAUGGGCGGAAGCCUGAUGCAGCAACGCCGCGUGCGGGAUGACGGCCUUCGGGUUGUAAACCGCUUUCGCCUGUGACGAAGCGUGAGUGACGGUAAUGGGUAAAGAAGCACCGGCUAACUACGUG
rnacentral:rRNA from 1 species